rnacentral:ncRNA from 1 species
UAGAUAGAGGUCGCACUCUUCAUCAGUACGUGAUCUGAUGUCCCAGGAGGCAGAGGAGGAUUAUGGAAAGGGAACAGUGCCGAAAGGAUAUUCUGCCUGACAGGAUACUCCUUGGGCAUGGCGUGAAUAACGACAUGACUGUCAUCAUUGGAUGGAGCGCUAUCA